ACCCCCUUGCGAUCACGAAUAUUGGGAAAGGACUCAAGCAUUGCGCAUUUAACAUAGUAUUCCGUUAUAUUAGAAAAAUCGUUGCUCUUGGGAAUAGUAGAGUCUUUAAAACAAAAUUUUUCUAAAUAAGCCAUGCGAAGAUGAUAAUAUCCAACCCAAUCAAGUUCAGGAAUAGCACAUCUUGCUAAGGCACGUGCUGCUUCUUGUCGAAUGCCAUAAUAAUACCUAUUAUCCAAUAGUGUACGAAGCAAAACGGUAGAAACUUGCUGAGAGACCGUAAAGCUCUCACUAGUAAAGUGCCGAAUAGUUUCUAGUUGCGCAACUACAUCUCUAUCUUGCUGUAACUGAGAGACAUACAUAUGUUCCGGCUGCCGCACACGUAGAUCACAAAUCCAUUCGAAGUCUGCAUCAACCCGAAUCCAUUCGAAAGCCUCAGUCGCCAUUGUAUCUUCCUCUUCUUUAGUAUAGUCAUAUAAAUGCCAACGCUCUAUAUCUUCGUCACUUUGCAAAACAUCCCCCAAACUUCGGAUAACGUAGUCAGAAUCAUCACCAUUAUGGUCACCAUCCCUUUUGACAUUUUUUGUAGACCUGUUUCUACUAAUUCUUUUAUAUUUAGUAUUGUAUUGAAUAUCGAGUUUGGUAAAAGAAUCCUUUAACUCAACCACGUGUUCAUACGGUGUACCAUCGGCCUCGUGAAUUCGAAUGGUCAUGGGUCCACUGAAAACAGGAAGGCCGGUAGGAAUGCUUUCGUUAUUCAAAUGACGGAUGGCGUCGCUUAAAAAGUUUUUGUCAGACAUUGGGGCUCGGGGGGCCUCUUUUGUUUGAACCUGAUCAAUUCCCAUUUCGAUGAUCAUUUUCUUACGAUUGAACCUUUGUACUACUCUAAAAAUUGGAUAGCCGUAGCCAUAAAUCCAUUGUUGAGCAAAAACGUCGAGCCGCAUGUGACUAGCUUUUU